rnacentral:rRNA from 1 species
CCGCAGUAUCCUGACUGUGCAAAGGUAGCAUAAUAAUUUGUCUUUUAAUUGGAGGAUGGAAUGAAUGGUUUGACGAAGGUAAAGCUGUCUCAUGUGUAUUUAUUAAAAGUUGAUUUUUAGGUUAAAAAGCCUAAAUUGAAUUAAAAGACGAGAAGACCCUAUUAAGCUUAAAGGAAGUACUUGACUAUUGUUAUAAGUUAAGAUGCAAAUAUCAGGGGCGGAAAUUUUAGUUGGGGCGACUUGGGAGCAAAAAAAACCUCCUUGAAUUGGAAAAAAUUUAAUUUAUGGCCCAAAAAUUUUGAGUUAAGAAUAAGUUACUAUAGGGAUAACAGCGUGGUUUUAUUUGAGAGUUCUAAUCGAAAAUAGAGUUCGCGACCUCGAUGUUGGAUUAAGAAGUAAUGAGGGUUGUAGAAGCUUUCAUAAUUAGUCUGUUCGACUAUUAGUGUCUUACAUGAUCUGAGUUCAAACCGGA